CCCCUUCCUCCCACCCCCUCAACAGGCCCCGGUGUGUGAUGUUCCCCACCCUGUGUCCAAGUGUUUUCAUUGUUCGAUUAAGGGGAUGAUUUUUAACCAAGGGAAUAUAUUUUAAACUUGAAUCUUUUCUUGCAUUGUAUUUUUCCAAAAGUUUGGCUUCAUUUCUUGGUAGUUAAGAGUAUGGGUAAUAAGGAGUUAUAUGUCUGCCGUGUUGCUCAUUUAAAAAAAGUAUUUAUUGAAUAAGGCUGUUUUUUAUCACAGGCAUAAAAUUUAAUCUUUUUGUUUCAAAGAAACAUCUCAGUACACUUAGGGGUGUAUCGUUUCCCACAUAUAAAGUCAGGCUGGAUAAAUUAGUUAUUAUAACUAAACACAGUGUAGUCCAACAUUUGUUGAUCCCAAUACAGGCAAAUAACCUGGUCAGCCUUUUAAAGAAGUAGAAGAAAUGAAAAUUAUUUGACAAGAUUAAAAGUAAAACAAUUUAAAUGUUUUACUAAAAGUUUAUAUAGGUCUAUGUAGAUAAAAAGUACCACUUGUCUUAUCUGUGAAUUAUAACUGUUCCUUUGUUAAAAACACCUAAGAGCAAUUAUGGUGGGACAUCUAAGGUACUUUUUAAACAGUGAAUUAGCAAACCUCAGCAUAUGUGUUUCUACCUUGAUUUUUUUCUUUUCAUGGGUAUCUGAAGCCUCCCUUCUGAGUAACAGGUUUUUCAAAAAUGGAGUAUCACAAAAUUGAGUGAAAUACAAUACUGAAACAAUACUUAAAAAUAUAUUGUACCAGAUUUGUCAAAUUCAUAAAAUGUUGAUGGAAGCUUUACUUUUUAGUGUGAUUAUAAUGGCACUAUUCUGGUCAUUAUCCUGUUUUUAUUUUAUUUAUUUUAAUUAUUUUUUAAAGUUGAAGAAUUAAAUAGUUUAAUGGUUCUAAUUUUUUGCAUUCCAUGUUACAUUAAACCUGUUCAUAUGAUGAGUAAUUUUCUGUUAGGAAAUAAAAGAAAUUGGAAAGCAGUA
rnacentral:lncRNA from 1 species